rnacentral:ncRNA from 1 species
GUUAAGUUUUAUUCUUGCUUUUCUAUUUAUUUUUUUAUUGUUUUAUAUGCUUAUUUUUGUUAUUUUUAGUUGUAUUCUUAAUGGAUUGAUUUAAUUUAUUUUAUAUUAUGCAGUACUGAAUAUUACAUAUUUGGGUUACUUUGAUUUAGUUAUUAAAAUUUAUUAUUGAUUAAAGAUGUGCCAGCAAUCGCGGUUAUACAUUGUAUGAAAAUAAAUAUUAUUGGUUUUAUGGUUAAUAUUUUAUUUAUAAAUUUUUGUUUGAUUAUUAUUUGGGUGAAAUUGUUAAUUUUUGUUUAUUUAUUUUUUUUAUCUAUUUGAAGCCAUGAAGUUUAAGAUAUAUAAACUAGGAUUAGAUACCCUAUUAUUUUUUAUUUAAAUUUGGUUACUUGGGUAGUAUUAGAUUGUUCUUGAAACUCAUAGAAGUUUGGCGGUAUUUUAAUUACUCUUUAGAGGAAUCUGUUCCGUAAUCGAUAAUCCGCGAUGGACCUUACUUUAUAUGUUGGUUUGUAUACCGCCGUUGUUGAAUAUUUUCUUAGAAUUUUUAAUUUUCUUGAUUUUUUAUUAGAUAUUAUUUCAGGUCAAGGUGCAGCUUAUUAUAUAGUGGAAAUGGAUUACAAUUUUUUUUUGGAAUAUGGAUGUGACUAGUAUUGGUUAUCUUGAAGGUGGAUUUAAUAGUAAUUUUAUGUAGAUUGUUAAAAUGGAGUGAGCUCUGGAAUAUGUACAUAUCGCCCGUCACUCUCGUUGAUUUUAAAUGAGAUAAGUCGUAACAAAGUAGCUGUACUGGAAAGUGUGGCUAGAUAUAU